GAUGAAGAACGUAGCGAAAUGCGAUACGUAAUGUGAAUUGCAGAAUUCAGUGAAUCAUCGAGUCUUUGAACGCACAUUGCGCCCUGUGGUAUUCCGCAGGGCAUGCCUGUUCGAGCGUCAUUUCAACCCUCAAGCCCCGCUUGGUGUUGGGCCCCGCCCGCCGUGGCCGGCCCUAAAGACAGUGGCGGCGCCGCCUGGCCCUCAGCGUAGUACAGCUCUCGCUCCAGGGUCCGGCGGCCGCCUGCCAGAACCCCCCCAACUCUGUGGUUGACCUCGGAUCAGGUAGGGAUACCCGCUGAACUUAAGCAUAUCAAUAAGCGGAGGA
rnacentral:misc_RNA from 1 species